GAUGAAGAACGUAGCGAAAUGCGAUAAGUAAUGUGAAUUGCAGAAUUCAGUGAAUCAUCGAAUCUUUGAACGCACAUUGCGCCCAUUAGUAUUCUAGUGGGCAUGCCUGUUCGAGCGUCAUUAAGUCCACUUAAGCCAUGCUUAGUGUUGGGAGACUGCUCCAGCGGUGCUACCCUGUAGCUACCCUGCAGCUCCUCAAAGACAGCGGCGGAGUUGUGGUAUCCUCUGAGCUUAGUAACUUGUUCUAGCUUUCGAGUACACCACUUCCCCUGCCGUAAAACCCUUAAUUUUUAAUGGUUGACCUCGGAUCAGGUAGGAAUACCCGCUGAACUUAAGCAUAUCAAUAAGCGGAGGA
rnacentral:misc_RNA from 1 species